rnacentral:rRNA from 1 species
AACGAACGCUGGCGGCAGGCCUAACACAUGCAAGUCGAACGUGAAGCCACCUUCGGGUGGUGGAAAGUGGCAGACGGGUGAGUAACGCGUGGGAACGUGCCUUUCGGUUCGGGAUAACCCGGGGAAACUUGGGCUAAUACCGGAUACGCCCUUCGGGGGAAAGAUUCAUCGCCGAAAGAUCGGCCCGCGUCGGAUUAGCUUGUUGGUGGGGUAAAAGCCUACCAAGGCGACGAUCCGUAGCUGGUCUGAGAGGAUGAUCAGCCACACUGGGACUGAGACACGGCCCAGACUCCUACGGGAGGCAGCAGUGGGGAAUAUUGGACAAUGGGCGCAAGCCUGAUCCAGCCAUGCCGCGUGGGUGAAGAAGGCCCUAGGGUUGUAAACCCCUUUCAGCGGGGAAGAUAAUGACGGUACCCGCAGAAGAAGCCCCGGCUAACUCCGUG